rnacentral:rRNA from 1 species
UACGGAGGGUGCAAGCGUUAUCCGGAUUCACUGGGUUUAAAGGGUGCGUAGGUGGAUUAGUAAGUCAGUGGUGAAAUCUCUGGGCUUAACCCGGAAACUGCCAUUGAUACUAUUAGUCUUGAAUACCGUGGAGGUCAGCGGAAUAUGUCAUGUAGCGGUGAAAUGCUUAGAUAUGACAUAGAACACCAAUUGCGAAGGCAGCUGGCUACACGAAUAUUGACACUCAGGCACGAAAGCGUGGGGAUCAAACAGG